UGAAAGCAUCUAAGUGCGAAACUCACCACAAGAUGAGGUCUUGUUGAGGGUCGUUGAAGACUACAACGUUGAUAGGCCGCAGGUGUAAAGGCAGUGAUGUCACAGCCGAGCGGUACUAAUUACCCAAAAACUUAUAA
rnacentral:rRNA from 1 species